AUGGCGACUGAACAGCUCAACGUGUUGAAAGCACUCGAUGUUGCCAAGACGCAACUGUACCAUUUCAAGGCGGUCGUGAUCGCCGGCAUGGGCUUCUUCACGGACGCCUACGACCUCUUCUGCAUCGCCCUCGUCACCAAGCUGCUGGGGCGCAUCUACUACACCGACCCUGCCCUCAACGAGCCCGGCCACCUCCCGGCAAACGUGUCGGCCGCCGUGAACGGCGUGGCCCUAUGCGGCACACUUGCCGGCCAGCUCUUCUUCGGCUGGCUCGGUGACAAGCUCGGCCGCAAGAGCGUCUACGGCUUCACGCUCAUCCUCAUGGUCCUCUGCUCCAUCGCGUCCGGGCUCUCGUUUGGACACGAGGCCAAGGGCGUAAUGGGGACGCUAUGUUUCUUCCGCUUCUGGCUUGGCUUCGGCGUCGGCGGCGACUAUCCUCUGAGCGCCACCAUCAUGUCGGAAUAUGCUAACAAGAAGACCCGCGGCACCUUUAUCGCCGCUGUGUUUGCCAUGCAGGGGUUUGGCAUCCUAUUUGGUACCAUUGUCACGAUCAUCGUCUCGUCCGCAUUCCGACAUGCAUUCCCUGCACCGCCAUUCUACAUUGACGCCGCGGCGUCCAUUGGCCCGGAGGCCGACUACGUGUGGCGCAUCAUCGUCAUGUUCGGCACCAUCCCGGCCGCCCUGACCUACUACUGGCGCAUGAAGAUGCCCGAAACUGCGCGGUACACAGCACUCAUCGCCGGCAACACGAAGCAAGCCACAUCAGACAUGUCCAAGGUGCUCAACAAGGAGAUCUCAGAGGAGAAUGUGCAGGGUGAGCGUGCCACUGGUGAUACUUGGGGCCUCUUCUCGCGACAGUUCAUGAAGCGCCACGGGGUGCACUUGCUAGCGACCACAAGCACUUGGUUCCUGCUCGAUGUGGCCUUCUACAGCCAGAACCUGUUCCAAAAGGACAUCUUCACCAAGAUCGGGUGGAUCCCGCCGGCCAAGACUAUGAAUGCAUUGGAGGAGUUGUACCGCAUCGCCCGCGCCCAAGCGCUCAUCGCGCUCUGCGGCACCGUGCCCGGCUACUGGUUCACCGUCGCCUUCAUCGACAUUAUUGGGAGGUUUUGGAUCCAGCUCAUGGGAUUCACCAUGAUGACCAUUUUCAUGCUCGCAAUCGCCAUACCUUACGACUACUUGGUGAAGCCAGGGCACCACACCGGCUUCGUCGUGCUCUACGGGCUCACUUUCUUCUUCGCCAACUUCGGCCCCAACAGCACAACCUUCAUUGUGCCAGCCGAGAUCUUCCCUGCGAGGCUCCGGUCCACAUGCCACGGUAUCUCUGCCGCUACCGGUAAGGCGGGCGCGAUCAUCGGCGCGUUCGGGUUCCUGUAUGCGUCGCAGGACCAGAAGAAGCCCGAGACCGGCUACUCACGGGGGAUCGGCAUGCGCAACGCACUCUUUGUGCUCGCAGGCACAAACUUCCUGGGCCUGCUCUUUUCCUUGUUGGUGCCAGAGUCUAAGGGCAAGUCGCUUGAGGAGCUCUCCAAGGAGAACGUCGGCGACGACGACACCAUUGCUCCGACUGGUGUCUAG
rnacentral:rRNA from 1 species